AGAAUCAACGCUGGCGGCGUGCCUAACACAUGCAAGUCGAACGAGAAAGUGGAGCAAUCCAUGAGUAAAGUGGCGCACGGGUGAGUAACACGUGACUAACCUACCCUUGAGUGGGGAAUAACCUAGGGAAACCUGGGCUAAUACCGCAUAACACCUACGGGUCAAAGGAGCAAUUCGCUUAAGGAGGGGUCGCGGCAGAUUAGCUAGUUGGCGGGGUAAUGGCCCACCAAGGCAGUGAUCUGUAUCCGGCCUGAGAGGGCGCACGGACACACUGGAACUGAAACACGGUCCAGACUCCUACGGGAGGCAGCAGUGGGGAAUUUUGCGCAAUGGGGGAAACCCUGGCGCAGCAACGCCGCGUGGAGGAUGAAGUCCCUUGGGACGUAAACUCCUUUCGACCGGGACGAUAAUGACGGUACCGGUGGAAGAAGCCCCGGCUAACUUCGUGCCAGCAGCCGC
rnacentral:rRNA from 1 species